CCCGUCGAGGGGCGCUGCGACCGCGACCAGUUCACGGCCAGGCUCGACGGCAUCCUUCCGAAACGGCGCCCGGUUUUU
rnacentral:ncRNA from 2 species